ensembl:lncRNA
CUGCCGUCCAGGAGGACGUUCCCGAGCGGGCCGCUGCCGUCCAGGAGGACGUUCCCGAGCGGGCCGCUGCCGUCCAGGAGGACGUUCCCGAGCGGGCCGCUGCCGUCCAGGUGGACGUGCCCGAGGUUCCCGAGGCGGGGCUCGAGGUGGUUCGGGAUGCCGAGGCGGUGCCCGAGGCUGUGCCCGAUGCCGAGGCGGUGCCUGAUGCGGUGGCCGAGGCGGUUCCCGAUGCAAUGUCCGAUGCCGAGGCGGUGCCCGUUGCCGAGGCGGUGCCCGAUGCGGUGGCCGAGGUGGUUCCCGAUGCAAUGUCCGAUGCAGUGGCUGUGCCCGAUGCCGAGGCGGUGCCUGAUGCGGUGGCCGAGGCGGUUCCCGAUGCAAUGUCCGAUGCCGAGGCGGUGCCCGUUGCCGAGGCCGAGGCGGUCCCCGAUGCCGAGGCGGUCCCCGAUGCAAUGCCCGAUGCCGAGGCGGUGCCCGAUGCGGUGCCAGAGACGGUGCCUGAUGCGGUGGCCGAGACGGUGCCAGAGACGGUUCCCGAUGUAAUGCCCGAGACCGAGGCUGUUCCGGAGGUCGAGGCGGUGCCCGAUGUUGUUCCCGAUGCCGAGGCGGUGCCCGAUGCUGUUCCGCAGGUCGAGGCGGUGGCCAAUGCCGUUCCGCAGGUCGAGGCGGUGCCCGAGUUGGUUCCAGAGACCGAGGCGGUGCCCGAGGUGGUGCCCGAUGCGCAGGCCGAGGUCGUUCCCGAGGCGGUGCCCGAUGCGCAGGCCGAGGUCGUUCCUGAGGUGGUGCCCGAUGCAGAGAUCGUUCCCGAGGCGGUGUCCUUGUCCAAGGCCGUUCCCGAGGCCGUGCCCGAGGCCGUUCCCGAGGCGGGGGCCUUGUCCAAUGUCGUUCCUGAGGCCGUUCCUGAGGCCAUUCCAGAGGCGGUGGCCGAUGCUGUUCCGGAGGCCGAUGCGGGGCCCAGGAUGGCUCCGGAGGCGAUACCCGUGUCCAAGGCCGUUCCCGAGGCGGUGCCCUUGUCUGAGGUCGUUCCUGAUGCCGUUCCCAAUGCCGUGACCGGGCCAUCGCCACAGCCUGCUCCUUACUGGCUCCCCGAUUGGCAGGUUCCGUUCGGGCCACUCAAAUGGCGAAUUCCUCCCUGGCCGUCUGCACAACGAGAAUGGACUGAUCCACCGUGGCCACCUGAACUGCCUGGCCCCUCGUGGUCCCCUGAACUUUCGGGUCCACCGUGGCCACCUGAACUGCCUGGUCCCUCGUGGUCCCCUGAACUUUCGGGUCCACCGUGGCCACCUGAACUGCCUGGUCCCUCGUGGUCCCCUGAACUUUCGGGUCCACCAUGGCGCCCUGAUCUGACCGAGCCACCUGGGCUACCAGGGGAGCCAUCGCUGCCGGUCCCAGUUCCCCUACACGGGCCUGGCCCGCCAUCCCUCCC